CACGCCCUAAACGAUGAAUACUCGAUGUUGGCGAUACACCGUCAGCGUCCACGCGAAAGCAUUAAGUAUUCCACCUGGGGAGUACGUCCGCAAGGAUGAAACUCAAAGGAAUUGACGGGGGCCCGCACAAGCGGAGGAGCAUGUGGUUUAAUUCGAUGAUACGCGAGGAACCUUACCCGGGCUUGAAAGUUAGUGAAGUAUCCAGAGAUGGGUACGUCCUUCGGGACACGAAACUAGGUGC
rnacentral:rRNA from 1 species